rnacentral:rRNA from 1 species
AUGUAGGUAUCUACCCUAUGGCCUGGAAUAACACGAGGAAACUUGUGCUAAUACCGGAUAAGUCUUUACGGAGAAAGCUUUAUGCACCAUUGGAUGAGCCUGCACUUGAUUAGUUUGUUGGUGGGGUAAUGGCCUACCAAGACUGUGAUCAAUAGCUGAUUUGAGAGGAUGAUCAGCCACAUUGGGACUGAGACACGGCCCAAACUCCUACGGGAGGCAGCAGUGGGGAAUCUUGCACAAUGGAGGAAACUCUGAUGCAGCGAUGCCGCGUGAGUGAAGAAGGCCUUUGGGUUGUAAAGCUCUUUCGUCGGGGAAG